rnacentral:lncRNA from 1 species
UCCACAUUCACAUACAAUACACAUUAGCUAGAUUUUCCAUUUUUAGAAUAUUCCUCCACUCACUUUUAAUCUUUUUGCUAAAUUUCUUCCCAAGAAAUAGGACAUCCGUACACUUUUUGAUAUUUUUAUCCACAUGGACCUUCCAGUAAACAUCCCCAUACCGCACCCUCUUGAAUUAUCAUAUUCACUUUAUAUAUAACACAUAUCAGAAGAUAGAGGAGGAUUCCACUCGAAGCACAAAAAAGAAAUUGGAGAAAAAACCUAGAGCUCUAGAGCAAAAGCUGCGCAUCCUUCCCUUGGCUUUAGCCAUUAACAGAGCUUUUCUUCCACCAUCCAAGGAUCUCUGUUUUCCUCCAUUAAAAUGCACCAGAUUCCUCUCAAAAGACCACCAUUUUUAGAGCCAAAACCCAGCUGAUUUCCCCCCAUGAAACAACCACAAUUACCCAACGAAAAUCAGCCAAAAAUCUGCCGAAACAGUGCCCAUAAAUCGCAGCUUAAACCAGCCAAUAACCACCCCAAAAUAACCCCAAAACGCAGCUGAAAUCUGCUGCAAUCAGCUGCCAAAUCCAGCCAAAUAAAGCUCCAACAACUCACUGAAAACCAGCUCCAAAAAACAACCCGUUUGAGUUCGAGUUUGUCGAGGUCAUGUUGAGGUCGUCGGAUCGAGUUUUGUUUGCAUCUUUAUGUUGUUGCUGGAUUUCAUUUUGCUCGAUGAUUGACUAUUGUUUAUGUAAAAGCUUGGUUUGAAGGUCCAUUGGAUAUACACAAGAAAAUAGAUUUCAUAGAGGUCCAUUCCUUUUCCUCUAUUCUGAUUCAAAUCCAUAUUAUGCUUUGCUUUGAAUGUUGAUGUCUUGUGUGUGAUUUAUUAUCUUUGUUUAACGUAUGGUUCGUGUUUGUCUAUUGUUUAAUUUGGGUAAUAGUUUGCAGUUUUUAAAUUGAUUUAUAUGUUUAAUUAGAUUUAAAGGUUGUUCAGGAUGUAGGGAUUAUUUUUGAAAACAUAAAACAGGGUGUCUGUUGGUUUAAGCAUUUAAGAAACAAUUGGGCUUAGAUGAGUGGAAUUUUACCGGCCCAUUUCAUAAGAUAGCUGCUCCACUUUUUGAAGACACAUAGCAUACCCCUUCUUUAGUUACUACUUCGACCAAAUACCAAUAAUAAAGUUAGCCCACUUCUCCCAUAACUUCAUAUCAAUAACCUAUGGCCUUCACGAUAAUUUCAAUGUUUAGGAAGAGUAAUGAAUAUUCGUAGAAAUGCUUUAGGCAUGACUUAAUCUAUCAUCAUCAUGAUUGUGUACACGUUCACGUGACAUAAUUAUGAUUUUUUCAAAAUAAAUCAAGGUACGCGUUCGCGCGACUUCGACCAAGCUUUUUUUUUUUCUUAAAUAAUUAGGUGUUGUGAAUUGUGUACACGUACGCGUGACAUGAUUCUUGACGUAUUAAACGAAAUGAGUAUAAGUACCCAUAACUCGUCUUAAGAUAAUUCUGUAUUAAGUGAUUAGUAGCGGUAAAAGGUAAAAUAAACAUAGGUCCUAAAAUGAGUAAUUAGAUAAAAUAAGCCAAGUAUAAAUUGCUAAGCGACCGUGCUAAAACUACAAAAUUCGGGAAUGCCUAACACCUUUUCCCGGGUUAACAGAAUUCCUUACCUAGUUUUCUGGUUUCGCAAACUUUGAACGAAGUCAAAUUUUUCUCGAUUUGGGAUUUAAAAUAAACCGGUGACUUGGGACACCAUAAAAUUAUCCCAAGUGGCGACUCUAAAAUAAAUAAAUAAUCCCAUUUUUAUUAUUGUCACUUUAAAUGGAAAAACUCUCUAUCCUUAUAUCUCCUCGGGAAAAAGGAGGUGUGACAGCUCUAGCGACUCUGCUGGGGAAAGAACUCCGAACUUCUGGUUCAGGGUUCAAGAAUUCAAGCUUGUUAAAUGUGAUUUUUACUUGGCUUUAUUAAUUGUUGAUAUUACCGUAUUUUUGGGCCUAAUGAGCUAAUUGCCGCUUAUUUACUGCUUUGAUAUUAUUUGAACUGUGUUAAAAUGUCUUCUUACGCCUCCCUUUUGAGUCUUCUAAAAAAAUGGUACACACGUUCGCGUGACUCGCUUUUUUGUUAGAGGUCCUUUUUAAAAAUUAAGAGUCAACAUCCAAAAUUCAAAAAUAUUUUCUUUCUUAUUUAGAAAAAGAGAAAACAAAUGAAAAUUCAAAUAGAAAUAUUUUUCUUUUUACUUUUGAGAUUCCCAAAGUUCAAAUCAAAUGAAAAGAAAUUUUUAGAAGUCUUUCUUUAAAAAAAAUAAUGAAAAUCCAAAUUCCAAAAUAUUUUCCUUGUUAGAAGCUUUUGAGGUAUGAUUUGCCUCUUGAAAAAUAUUGAAUAAAUUAGAAAAAAAAAAGAAAGAAAAAGUUCGCUUAUUUAUCGUGUUCUUAGUAUUCCUGAACUAUGUAAUGAUCUGAUUCAUGCGACAUCGUGAUACGUAGGCAAUCUCCAUCAGAUUCGAUCAUAGCCAUAAAAUUAAUUGAAUGAAAAAUAAACUGAAAAAAAAGAGAAAGAAAAAAUUGAAAAAAAAGAAGAGUGAAAAAAAUAAAAAGAUAAAAAGAGCGACAAAAAAAAGAGUGGCAAAAAAAUAAAAAAAAGGAAAUGAAUAAUAAAAGAGCGAUAGAAACAAGAUGCGAAAAUCAAGAGUGGUUAAAGAGAGACAGAAAUAAAAGAAAAGAGGUACAUACUGAAAGGGUUAGUUAUGACCAGGAUGAAACAUGUAACCGUUCAAACACAUGGUAAAAGCGUUAAACUGUUAGGUGCAUUGCAUCCCAACGUGUGAUUUCCUAUAUGUUAAAUGUCUCAAUUGUGGUGUGAGAAAAUUAGCCAAGAUUUGUUCAGGUGGUCAGUUUUGUUGGUAUGUGGUGAUGAACGUGUAACCUUGCACGUGGCCACAACAUUAUACACAAAAUCGAGUUCCACCUCCCAGAAAUGCCCAUCCUUAUCAAGUUCCAUAUAAUCCCCAAUCAAAUAUUCCCCAAUACAAUCCUCGCCAAGAGAGCCUUUCAAAAAGAAUCAGUUCACCCCUAUUGGUGAAUAAUACUCGAGCUUGUUCCAAAUGCUAGUUAAGCGAGGCCUGCUGCAGCCAGUGGCCCCAAACCGGCCAAACCCCGACUCCCCCUCGCACCGAGCUGAUGCUAGAUGUUAAUACCACCCUGGAGCAGUAAGACACAGUACAGAGGGCUGUUGGACCCUCAAAAGGGCAGUUGAAGACUUGAUUGAAGCUGAAAGAAUCGUUCUUCAGGAUGAAGAGGCUCCUGAUGUGACAAACAAUUCGUUGCUUACUCAUAACACCGGGCCAAUAGUCGAAAUGAUUUGUGGAAAUGAGGAAUUUGAUCCGGCACUGAAGGCCAUCACAGCCAUCCAUUACUAAAAAAAUCAGGUUUUAACAACAGACAAAUUUGUAGCUAAACAGAAAAAUCCGUCGCUAAUCUCAUUUAGCAAUGGAUUAGCAAUAGAUUAUCAAGAAAUUUUGCUAGCUACGAGCAUUUUAGCGACAGAUUAGUGACGACGUUCGUAGCUAAUUUUAAUUUUUUUUCAGUGUUUGCCGAGGCAGAAGAAAAGCCAAAAAACGGUCGCCAAGCCUGAAAAUACCCCAUUAGACGGGAGUCUCGGUAGCUAGUCUUGCUAUCCUUUCUGCGUCCAGAUUAUCUUAGGGUGUGAUCCAGAUAUUUUACUUUAUUAUUGUCUUACUUUCCGAUGUAAACACUUCUAUCUUUAAAAUUAAAAAAAAAUCAAAACAAAAAUAAAAAUAAAAUAAAAAAAUUAUUUCAUUACCCAGGAAUGUCUCUUUUCUUAUUAUCACUUUCCUUAUUCUCUUUUUCGUUAUGUUAAAUGCAGAUUUCAAUAAUAUGACAUGCUUGCAGAUUUCAUGCCCAGAUCCUAAAACGCUGUCAGAC